AUUUAGGUACAAUUUCAGGUUAAAGGGUCCACACCGAUGGUGUUAAAGAGUGCUCACGUCAAAGUUAUGUUUCUUCAGUUAUGACGAAAACAAAUUUGGAAUGCCCUGUCAUCCGCAUUAACCUAUGCUAGCUAACACAGUAGUUAAGGGAAGUCAUAAUAACACAAACUAUUGUAUUUGGAUGACAAAACACUUCUAGGCCAUAAAUAUAAAACAAUCAUAUGAAAAACUGUAAAGUAUGGCAGUACCUUAGUGUCCCUUCUUCUCUCGUGAUGAGAUUUUUAAACCGCUGCGCAAAAGAGUUCAUUCGACGCAGUUCCUCGAAUCGUCGUAUGUCAAUACAGUCUAGGGAUGUCCCGAUCCAACGUUUUCUCUUCCGAUCCAAUACCGAUAUUGCAGUCUUGAAUUUUGGCCAAUACCCAUAUCGGUCCAAUCUGAUAUCAGCAAUAAUAUCGUACAUGCUUAUUUUGUAGUAUGGAAUAUUAGAGAAGGCUUGAUGAAGUGAUAUUACUCAAACAGAGAACAAUGAUCAGCAACAGUAGGGAUGAGGAAAAACUGACCAAUGUUGCCACAGUUACCUUGAAAAAGUAACUUAGUUACUUUACUGGUUACUCUAUUUCAAAAGUAACUAAGUUAGAAAAAGUAACUUUUUAGUUACUUUCAGCAGCUGCCAAGUCGCAGUAAUAUGACUUAUCCACAGUACACAAAAAGCAUUAGCUUAAAGGUCAGAAGACAAAGAUUUUAAAAAUUGUCUUGCUAACUCUCGAACCCCUUUACAAACCACAUCUGCCAUUUCGAAGUGAUUAUAUGGCAAAUAUACAGCAGUUAAAUCGAUAAAUAUGAUGCAGAAUGCGCCUUCUGCUUUUUGCAUCUCGCACCUUCCGGUCUUUGUCUCUUUCCGGCGCUGUGACGUCACACAAGCCAAACAUCCUGUUCAUUCGGCUGUGUGUGCUAUUGUUCCAUGCUGUUCUUCCCGUCCUUGUACAUUUGUUGUCGUAUGAUUUAACGAUGUCACGAUGGUUUAUUGUGUGGCAUUUGGUUGUACAAAUGGUUCAGUCAGCGGCAAGAUUAUUAUUUUUUGACUUUUCGAGUGAACAAGGAAUACGUGACCAGUGGAUAGUGAAAGUCACUCGACAGGGGAAGAAACGUGGUCAGCUAUGGGUGCCUAGCAAGCAUUCCGAAAUCUGUGCCGACCACUUCGAACCACCGUGUUUUUAGAAAGCAUUGGAUACACAGGUGUAGUUAGGCAGAGGCGGAAACCAGCUGCGGUGCCAACUAUUCUUCCUACGGCCAUCGGGACCUCCACCGCCAACAAGAGAACUAAAUCUUGCAGCCGCCACGAUGCACCAGCGAAGCGACGCAGACAAGAGCCAAACACAGCACACUACACUCUAUACGCAAUGGCGAGCAACGUGUUGGAAUAUGAGGAGGAGGAGGAUUUUAACAUACAGGAGCUCCCAACUGAACUUGGCAUCGUCAAACCGUACGUUUGAGCCGAUCAGGAGGUCGGAACCUGACAGUGACGACGACGAGCAGCUGAGUCGCAGCUGUACAACAGAAAAAGAGUGGCCGCUGGAUUGAUGUGACGGCACAACCUGCCGAAGAGACAACAAUACCGCGGAAAUACAGACUGGUAUGUUUGUGCAUCGCAUAAAUCCAUAAUUUACUUGCUUCAGCAUACUCACUUGUCGAUGGGAAAAAAAAAAAAAAAAGCAUGAGUGACAUACAUAAAACCAACAGCUAUGCACAAGGAAAUUAUUGGAGAACGUCCAUAGUUAGAUCAUUGGUGGAAUUGCAAGAAAAUAAUCACCGUCAAUGGGAACAAGUGAAAUGACACAGUAACAUUCAUGUUAAUGGUCUGAUGUUAAUUACAAAUUAUUUCCAUUCCAGGUGUUCCUGUGGAGAAUGCCAUUCACAGCCUACAGGGGUGGCGAGUGUCUGUUGCCAGGAGUUGUGAGCAGUAGGAGAAAAGUUGACUGUUGGAAUGAGUUGCGUCAUUGAACGUGAAGGAUUUGAAGCCAACUGUCUAAAUCAGUUUGUGCUGGAAACCAACUUCUGGGAGUACAUCCAGACAAAUGGCCCCAUCGGUGAUGAAGACCUAGUAAAGGAGUAGGUUUUUCAGAGAGAAGAGGAGGUAGACCAGUGUUCUGAAACUAUUCUACACCAAGUACCACUGUAAAAAAAAAUACUUGGCUCUCCAAGUACUGCCGUAAUGACCAGCAUUGAAACACAGUAGCGUAGUAUGCCCAAGUGUUCAUCAAAUAAACAAGGGUCUACAGGUACAUUGCAUACAGACGAUUCACACGAAUCUAUCACAUCCUUGGGAAGAAAAACAGAAGAGUUCUGCCAUCAUGUGUUGUUAGCAGAAUACUUGCUCAAUGGUUAGGGUUAGGGUGGAAGAGUGUAAACUAGAAUUAUUGUGGAUUUAAAUAUCCAAAAGCCUAAUUAAACCAGAACUUUGUUGAA